CACCCUCGUUUUUGGAAAAGAGCGCGUCUGAAGAGCCUGAAUGCACCACCCCUGUAAGCCGUGUCGCCUUUCCCGAGCCGCGUAACUCCUUCCCAAGUGACGUUGCCCGAAUGGGGGCCGCUCGCUGACUGGCCCACCUGGAGGCCAAAGGCGGCGUCGCAGGAGCGGCUGGCACGAGGGAGAUAAAAGGGCGUCGCGGGGCUCUGCUGGGCGCAAGCUUCUCACCCCGGGAAGAAUCAUACUCCUCCUCCUCCUGCCGCCGCCGCCGGUCUGCACCCCUUUUGACACCGAGACGGGUAUUCGCCUCUCUGCAACGCCUCCAUCCAGUUAAGCAGACUAAAGUCAUGUUGCACUGGGGAUACGAGGAAGACAACGGACCUACUCACUGGAGGGAAAUUUUCCCCAUUGCUGAUGGAGACCGGCAAUCUCCCAUUGAUAUUCACACUGAAGAGACUAAAUACGACCCCAACCUGCUUCCUCUCAGUCCCAGAUAUGAUCCUUCCUCUGCUAAAGUCAUACUCAAUAAUGGACACUCCACCAGUGUGGAAUUUGAUGACACUGAGAAUAAAUCAGUACUAAGUGGGGGUCCACUCACUGGAAAUUAUAGGCUGCGACAAAUCCACUUCCAUUGGGGAGCCCAAGAUGACAUUGGUUCUGAACAUGCCGUGGAUGGAGCAAAAUUCCCAGCAGAGCUUCAUGUGGUGCAUUGGAAUGCAGAUAAAUACCCUAGCUUCGUUGAAGCUGCUCAGCAACCUGAUGGAUUAGCAGUCAUGGCUGUUUUCUUAAAAAUGGGUGAAUGCAAUUCACAACUGAAAAAAAUCACAGACCAACUGGAUACCAUUAAAGUGAAGGGUAACCAGCACAGGUUCACCAAUUUUGAUCCUUCCUGUCUUCUCCCUCAUUCACUGGACUACUGGACAUACCUUGGGUCUCUCACAGUCCCUCCCCUUCUUGAGAGUGUCAUUUGGAUCGUCCUUAGGGAGCCUAUAAGUGUUUGCUCUGAACAGCUGGCCAAAUUUCGCAACCUCCUGUGCACUGGUGAAGGAGAGCAUGCCUAUUGCAUACUGAGAAACUUCAGACCACCACAGCCUUUAAGGGGGCGGGAAGUAAGAAGAAAUUAAAGGAAGGAUAAUUUGCUAUACUAGUUGACACUGUUAUGGAUGCAAAACCCAUUUAAAAUAUUGCGCAUAUAUAUCUAUAAAAUUAAUAGAAUAGAAUAGAAUAGAAUAGAAUAGAAUAGAAUAGAAUAGAAUAGAAUAGAAUAGAACAGAAUAGCCAUAUAACAAUUCUUGACAAUUACAAUAUACAAUCAUGCCCUUACAAUAUCAAUCCCAAAUAAAAACUUAUGGGUUUGUAUAAAAUAACAGUAAAUGCAAAGUAUGUGUAAGUAGUGAGAUGAUAAGAAGACAUGGAAAAGGAAUUAAAAUACUUAUAUCCAAUCAGGAUAAAAAGUUUAUUUUAGUGAUACAAUAUUUUUGUUCAAUUAUUUGAUUCAUCUAUUUAAAUAAUAGUUUCCUUGCAGUUUGACUAUGUUAGAGAGACAAGACACUCCCUUUUUAUUAAGAGUAUACUUAAUAAUUUAAGAUGUAAUUGGAUUGCAAUACGAUAUAAUCAAUCAGAUUUAUUCUGAGUUGUAGUUAAUAUUAAUAUUACAUUUUGUGGUCUGAAUGAACUUCGUGCUGUUAUUUGAUUGUAGAGUAGCAUGUUAAGUGUGAGUGAAGAGGAUUCAGUAGAAAUAAUUUAGGGUUUGUGAAUGAAAUGACCUAAUUAGGCAGAAGAUUAAAUGAUUUAAUCUUCCACUCUGGGAUUCUAUCAAUUUAUCUUCAAAACAUCCUAGGAAUUGUUCCUUUGUAAAGAAACUCAAUAGGAAAUUAUUCAACUAAUUAGACUAGAAAACAAGAAUAGCAAGACACUUAAAAAAUUCAAACAACU